CGGUCUGGUAAAUUUCUUGUGAAAUUAUCCAGCUUAACUGGAUAGCGUGCAAGAACGACUGCCAGGCUUGGGACCGGGAGGAGCAUGAGGUAUUCCUUGGGGAGCGGUAAAAUGUUAUAAUCCUUGGAAGACCACCUGUGGCGAAGGCGUCAUGCUAGAACGGAUCCGACGGUGAGGGACGAAAGCUAAGGUAGCAAUCCGGAUUAGAUACCCGAGUAGUCUUAGCCGUAAACGCUGCGAGCUAGGUGUUGCAUAUUCUUCGUGAAUAUGCAGUAUCGAAGCGAAGGUGAUAAGCUCGCCGCCUGGGGA
rnacentral:rRNA from 1 species